rnacentral:rRNA from 1 species
CUACGGGGGGCUCCAGUGAGGAAUUUUGCGCAAUGGGGGGAACCCUGACGCAGCAACGCCGCGUGAGUGAUGAAGGCUUUCGGGUCGUAAAGCUCUGUCAAGUGGGAAGAACCUAUGUAGUGUUAAUAUCACUGUAUACUGACGGUACCACUGAAGGAAGCACCGGCUAACUCCGUGCCAGCAGCCGCGGUAAUACGGGGGGUGCAAGCGUUAUUCGGAAUCAUUGGGCGUAAAGGGCACGUAGGCGGCUUGGUAAGUCAGGUGUGAAAGCCCGGGGCUUAACCCCGGAAGUGCAUUUGAUACUGUCAGGCUUGAGUAUGGGAGAGGGAAGUGGAAUUCCUGGUGUAGAGGUGAAAUUCGUAGAUAUCAGGAGGAACACCGGUGGCGAAGGCGACUUCCUGGACCAAUACUGACGCUGAGGUGCGAAGGCGUGGGUAGCAAACAGGAUUAGAUACCCUAGUAGUC